UACGGGGGGGGCAAGCGUUGUUCGGAAUUACUGGGCGUAAAGGGCUCGUAGGUGGCCAACUAAGUCAUACGUGAAAUCCCUCGGCUUAACCGGGGAACUGCGCCUGAUACUGGUUGGCUUGAGUUUGGGAGAGGGAUGCGGAAUUCCAGGUGUAGCGGUGAAAUGCGUAGAUAUAGGGAAGAACACCAAUCAGGCGAAGGCAGUUAACUAUUCUAUUCCUGACAUUGAGGCAUGAAAGCGUGGGGAGCAAAACGG
rnacentral:rRNA from 1 species